rnacentral:tRNA from 1 species
CAAAAGCAUCUCGCUUACACCGAAAAGAUAUCUGUGAAAUCCAGAUUAUUUCGA